rnacentral:lncRNA from 1 species
UUAGUUGUUUUAGGCCCCUUUUCUUAAACAACAUUAGGCCCAUUAGCUAGCCAUUACCCAUUUCUUAAACAACAUUAGGCCCAUUAGCUAGCCAUUACCCAAAUUCCAAAACCAUCAGAUGGCUCACAGUCACGACAAUUGAUUUCAUUUUUCACCCAAUUUCCUCCCUUUAUCUGAUUCUCUCUGUGCGCCGUGGACGGUGGACUUGCUCAGUUGCUUGGGUCCUGGGACUGGGAGGCUGGGACUUGCCAUCUUUGUUCCACCAACUGCCAUGGAUAGUCUGUAAGUCUAUUAAAAUGGAUAAAAUUAUUGUAUAUGGGAAUAUUUAUUUGUGAUUAUUCUAAGAAAAUCUUGGUCUUCUUUAUUGUCCGGAGUGUUUUUUUUUGUUGGUUUAAGUCAGUAAUUUAUUAAUUUAGGGGCUUUUUUUUACGAUUUUUUGGUGGUUUUAGUUUGUUAUUCUGAGCUUUUGAAAGAGUGAAAAUUGUGAAUGUGUUUUUGACUCUGUUGGAAAUUGUUUUCGUGUUUCAUUGCAGUUAAAUGAUAUUUGAUAUGCAGAUUACAAAAGAUGUGCCUUUUAGUAAAGAUGUUUGUACUUUUUCUCAUUACUGUAUGUAGCAUUUAUAUAAAGCUCUCAAAAGUGUUUGACAACAUGGUAGCUUGAUGAAACAUUCAGAAAAGUAGUAUAAAACAUUUAGUGGAUGGUAUUUGCUUCUAUGGAAAGUAUGAGAUGGACUCUGUUGACAGAUAUAAUGGAUUGCUUCUUAAAUUUUAUUGCGAUUUGUCGGCCACAAUGAUGUAUUAAAAUUGUGAUUUUGGGAGUCUUAAAGUUUACUCCGACCACUUUUGAUUCUUGCUGUUAUUUGUUUGGCGAGUUUCUACUAGUUUUGGUAUAGAAUUUUAUGUUUUGUGUGUGGAUUACAUUAAAGCACAAAAUAUUUUGUUUAGGACAAUUGACGGUCAACGGUCAACGUCCGCCCUAGCUGAGUCGAAGUCCUGGAUUCGCCACUGUUUA